GUCUGGAUAGUUGCAUAGGGCUGGAUAGUUGGAUAGGUCUGGAUAGUUGGAUAGGUCUGGAAAGGUCUGGAUAGUUGGAUAGGUCUGGAUAGUUGGAUAGGUCUGAAUAGUUGGAUAGGUCUGAAUAGUUGGAUAGGUCUCGAUAGUUGGAUAGGUCUGGAUAGUUGGAUAGGUCUGGAUAGAUAGAUAGGUCUGGAUAUGUCUGGAUAGUUGGAUAGGUCUGGAAAGGUCUGGAUAGUUGGAUAGGUCUGGAUAGUUGGAUAGGUCUGAAUAGUUGGAUAGGUCUGGAUAGUUGGAUAGGUCUGGAUAGUUGGAUAGGUCUGGAUAGUUGGAUAGGUCUGGAUAGUUGGAUAGGUCUGGAUAGUUGGAUAGGGCUGGAUAGUUGGAUAGGUCUGAAUAGUUGGAUAGGUCUGGAUAGUUGGAUAGGUCUCGAUAGUUGGAUAGGUCUGGAUAGUUGGAUAGGUCUGGAUAGAUAGGUCUGGAUAUGUCUGGAUAGUUGGAUAGGUCUGGAUAGUUGGAUAGGUCUGGAUAGUUGGAUAGGGCUGGAUAGUUGG
ensembl:lncRNA